rnacentral:rRNA from 1 species
UUGAACGCUGGCGGCAGGCCUAACCCCUGCAAGUCGAGCGGAUGAAGGGAGCUUGCUCCUGGAUUCAGCGGCGGACGGGUGAGUAAUGCCUAGGAAUCUGCCUGGUAGUGGGGGAUAACGUCCGGAAACGGGCGCUAAUACCGCAUACGUCCUGAGGGAGAAAGUGGGGGAUCUUCGGACCUCACGCUAUCAGAUGAGCCUAGGUCGGAUUAGCUAGUUGGUGGGGUAAAGGCCUACCAAGGCGACGAUCCGUAACUGGUCUGAGAGGAUGAUCAGUCACACUGGAACUGAGACACGGUCCAGACUCCUACGGGAGGCAGCAGUGGGGAAUAUUGGACAAUGGGCGAAAGCCUGAUCCAGCCAUGCCGCGUGUGUGAAGAAGGUCUUCGGAUUGUAAAGCACUUUAAGUUGGGAGGAAGGGCAGUAAGUUAAUACCUUGCUGUUUUGACGUUACCAACAGAGUAAGCACCGGCUAACUUCGUG